UGGUCUCAAAAACCUGUAUCUACCUGAGAUACCCUGUAUCUAUCUUAGAUACUAACCUGGGUUACCAAAACCCUAUAAUAAACCGGAGACCUCUUAUGGUCUCAAAAACCUGUAUCUAUCUUAGAUACUAACCUGGGUUACCAAAACCCUAUAUAUAUUUAGACCAAAUGUCUAAUAAACCGGAGACCUAUUUACAGUCUCAAUAUAACUAGAGUCCUUACACCUUUCCUAUCUACUGGAUACAGUCUUACUGAACCAAAGGGGGGUCAUAGACAAUCAGCGUCAAAUAAGACACAAAAAGGCUACUCACCGCAAAUGGUUUUGCUGAUCCAACUUCUAUCCCACUUCUAGACACCAAGCUGAAAGGGUUAAUGUUGUAAUGGACUCUAAUCCCCUCGGUUCUCGAUCCCUCGGUCACCAUAAUCAACGUUGAUGGAGAAUCAUUGUAAGCAAUAACACACGGACAACAGCUUUACA